rnacentral:tRNA from 1 species
AUAUAGAUGACUGAUAUUAUAGUGUUAGAUUGUAAAUCUAUUUAAGGAGUUUUCCUCUAUUAA